GACGAACGCUGGCAGCGUGCUUAACACAUGCAAGUCGAACGGAAAGGCCCUGCUUUUGUGCGGUGCUCGAGUGGCGAACGGGUGAGUAACACGUGAGUAACCUGCCCUUGACUGUGGGAUAACUUCAGGAAACUGGGGCUAAUACCGGAUAGGAGCUCCUGCUGCAUGGUGGGGGUUGGAAAGUUUCGGCGGUUGGGGAUGGACUCGCGGCCUAUCAGCUUGUUGGUGGGGUAGUGGCUUACCAAGGCUUUGACGGGUAGCAGGGCUGGGAGGGUGACCGGACACGUCGGGAUGGAGAUGCGGCCCGGACCCGAACGGGAGGCAGGAGUGGGGAAUAUUAUACUAUGGGCGGAGCCCUGAUGCAGCAACGCCGCGUGGGGGAUGACGGCAAGCGGGUUGUGUACCGCAGUCGCUUGUGCCGAAGUGUUAGUGACGGUAACGGGUAAAUAAGCUCCGGCUAACUACGUG
rnacentral:rRNA from 1 species